rnacentral:rRNA from 1 species
GACGAACGCUGGCGGCGUGCCUAAUACAUGCAAGUAGAACGCUGAAGCGAGGAGCUUGCUCUUCUUGGAUGAGUUGCGAACGGGUGAGUAACGCGUAGGUAACCUGCCUUGUAGCGGGGGAUAACUAUUGGAAACGAUAGCUAAUACCGCAUAACAAUGGAUGACACAUGUCAUUUAUUUGAAAGGGGCAAUUGUUCCACUACAAGAUGGACCUGCGUUGUAUUAGCUAGUAGGUGAGGUAAUGGCUCACCUAGGCGACGAUACAUAGCCGACCUGAGAGGGUGAUCGGCCACACUGGGACUGAGACACGGCCCAGACUCCUACGGGAGGCAGCAGUAGGGAAUCUUCGGCAAUGGGGGCAACCCUGACCGAGCAACGCCGCGUGAGUGAAGAAGGUUUUCGGAUCGUAAAGCUCUGUUGUAAGUCAAGAACGGGUGUGAGAGUGGAAAGUGCACACUGUGACGGUAGCUUACCAGAAAGGGACGGCUAACUACGU